rnacentral:rRNA from 1 species
UACGUAGGGGGCAAGCGUUGUCCGGAUUUAUUGGGCGUAAAGAGCGUGUAGGCGGCUAGGCAGGUCCGUUGUGAAAACUCGAGGCUCAACCUCGAGACGCCGGUGGAAACCAUCUAGCUAGAGUCCGGAAGAGGAGAGUGGAAUUCCUGGUGUAGCGGUGAAAUGCGCAGAUAUCAGGAAGAACACCCGUGGCGAAGGCGGCUCUCUGGGACGUGACUGACGCUGAGACGCGAAAGCGUGGGGAGCGAACAGG